rnacentral:rRNA from 1 species
AUUGAACGCUGGCGGAAUGCUUUACACAUGCAAGUCGAACGGUAGAGGGGGCAACCCCUCGAGAGUGGCGAACGGGUGAGUAAUAUAUCGGAACGUGCCCAGUCGUGGGGGAUAACGUAGCGAAAGUUACGCUAAUACCGCAUACGAUCUAAGGAUGAAAGCGGGGGAUCGCAAGACCUCGCGCGAUUGGAGAGGCCGAUAUCAGAUUAGGUAGUUGGUGGGGUAAAGGCUCACCAAGCCAACGAUCUGUAGCUGGUCUGAGAGGACGACCAGCCACACUGGAACUGAGACACGGUCCAGACUCCUACGGGAGGCAGCAGUGGGGAAUUUUGGACAAUGGACGCAAGUCUGACCCAGCCAUUCCGCGUGCAGGAUGAAGGCCCUCGGGUUGUAAACUGCUUUUGUACGGAACGAAAAGGUCUCUCUUAAUACGGGGGACUCAUGACGGUACCGUAAGAAUAAGCACCGGCUAACUACGUGCCAGCAGCCGCCGUAA